AGCCUACAGAAGCUGGCCUUUGGCUCUGUGAAAUCAGACUCUUUCUCCCCUGCUCCUCUGUAAAACCAUUUGUCACAGCCUCCCCACUCAGCAAGCCUGGCUGCUACCACUGCCUUAGGCACUCCAGCCUCAGAGCAAGAGGAUGUCCUGUGGGGAGCCAGAGAAUGGUUGAAGGCUGUGGUGCUGCCCCUCCUCUAACCAGCUGAAGGGGAACCUGGGCUCCCUCUCCAGCUACUGCUUUUCUAACCUUCUACCCACAAUCCUGUUGAGAGGAAGAUGAAUCCAUGCUAAAGAAACUAAAGGAGACCCACAGGUUCCUGGACUGUCUCUACAAUGGCACUGUGACCUGGCUGCUAUCUUUUCUGCCUGCAGCUGGGCUCCAGACAUUUGUGUUUGAACGUAGAAUGUUCUCACAGACCUCCAGGUCUUUGCUGCAGCCUCCCACCUUCUGGGACCAUCCACUCCCUUUUCUCUUCCUGAGGAACAAUGAGCUAAGAGGGAUCAGAGCAGAAGAUGCCAGGUUUCACUUCCAGUGAGGACUAUCAGUUCUGCCAGGAUCUGUCCAGACCCUGGGUCAUUAAUGAAUGGGCCGCCUAUGCACCAAGUGUACCAUGUCCCGCAGUACCAGAGUGACGACGACGACAACUCAAGGGACUCCCUGAGGCAUGGCUUAGCCUUCCUGUCUUUCAUCACCAUCUGGAAGCUACAGUCAAGCCUACUGUACAAGCAAAGAUGAUAUGAGAACUUCAAAAGCACAAAAUAAGAAAGCUGCUCAGGACUCUUCGUCACAGAAAUAAAGUCAGAAAAAGCCCUUACAACAGAAACUGAAGCCAGUUAUCCUGGCAAAGAUUUGGAAGCGAUUCCUGAAGUUCUGUACCAGAACCCCUAUCUCAACACUGGCUGUAAAUAGGGAGGCACAUUUGUAUAUUUUCCCUUUAUUACCCAGUUGCUGGGAGUCAAGCCUGGUCCCUAUAGUUCAGUUCAAUUGACACGAGUUUUAAAAUCUUACCCCUAUCCUUCAGUCUUCUAGCAGGUUCAGAGCUCUUCAGGAAGAGAUCAGGAAGAAAUAAAUACUUGUUCCUGAAGGUAACUGGGAAGAAAGAAAACUGCCUAGACAAACAGAAGAUUUUCUGCCAUCUCAAACAACAACAACAAAAAAAGUCAGUUAAUUCAGCGCUUGAGGAUAAACACUAAGGCCAGGUUUUCUGUGGGGUGAAAAACACAAUUCUAAACUAGUUCUUCUCCUGCCUUAAGAAUAGAAAAGCUGGGCUGUGGUUGUAGCUCAGCGGUAGAGUGCUUGCCUAGCACAUGUGAGGCCCUGGGUUCAAUCCUCAGCACCACAUAAAGAUAAAUAAAGUAUUGUGUCCAUCUACAACUAAUAUAUAUCAUAUAUAUUUAAACAUAUAGUUUUUUAAAAAGAAUAUGAAAAUUGGUGAAAGGAUGGGUCCAAAUCAUUGCAAAAUAAAUAAAUAAAUAAAUAAAUCACUUCUUGGAAUUAAAGAAAAAAAUGCACAUGAGCAUAAAUAGGAAUGGGUUUGUUUAAAACCUUUCCUUAGAGAGCAGAUUAGCUACAUGAGACUCUUGUGGAGUGGUUUACCAUGAAGAAUUUUAUAGUGUACGCAUGCUGAAUGUGAAGCUGGGAGUUUGGCAUCUAAACAUUUAUUAUUCAGAAAAAUCCUUACACCACGAUCAUAAUGAAGGUUUAACAUCAGUGUUUGACAUUUUGUCAUUAAAGGAUUGGUUUUAACAGUCUAGAUUUGGCAGCCUGCCCUAUAGGCUGUUUCACAAGCAGUUUCUGUGGUUUCAAGAAGGCAGGGUGUUUGCUUUUCAAACACUAUCUUAAAAAUAUAUUUUAGAAUAGGGUUCAACCAUUCCAAGACAGAAGGAAGGAAUGAAAACCAAACCAAAUAAAGGAAUCUGGUGCUGCCAAACAAAAGGGGGCACACCAGAGGGAGAACAGGGUAGGAAGAGAUAUUACUCACCACCUGCACCAAAACAGAAGCAGGCCGACUCAG